rnacentral:rRNA from 1 species
UACCAGCUCUCCGAGUUGUAGGGAUGAUUAUUGGGCUUAAAGCGUCCGUAGCUGGCUUAGCAAGUCUCCUGUUAAAUUCAGCGACCUAAUCGUUGAGCCGCGGGAGAUACUACUAGGCUAGGAGGCGGGAGAGGUCGACGGUACUUUCGGGGUAGGGGUGAAAUCCUAUAAUCCCGGGAGGACCACCAGUGGCGGAGGCUGUCGACUAGAACGCGCUCGACGGUGAGGGACGAAAGCUGGGGGAGCGAACCGGAUUAGAUACCCGGGUAGUCCCAGCUGUAAACUAUGCGGGCUAGGUGUUGGGGUGGCUACGGGCCACUUCAGUGCCGCAGGAAAGCCAUUAAGCCCGCCGCCUGGGGAGUACGGCCGCAAGGCUGAAACUUAAGGAAUUGGCGGGGGAGCACCACAAGGCGUGAAGCUUGCGGUUC